UAUUUAAAUAAAAAAAAAAAAGCUGUAUUGGUCCUUUCAACUUUGUCAUUAUUCAGCUUAGCCUGUAUGGCCAUUCAGUGGGGUAAUAGGGGAGGGCAAUUCAUGAGACUUGGUUCCCUUUCCUAUAGUCCCACAGU